GACGAACGCUGGCGGCGUGCCUAAUACAUGCAAGUCGAGCGAAGUUUUUCUGGUGCUUGCACUAGAAAAACUUAGCGGCGAACGGGUGAGUAACACGUAAAGAACCUGCCUCAUAGACUGGGACAACUAUUGGAAACGAUAGCUAAUACCGGAUAACAGUAUUUCUCGCAUGAGAGAUAUUUAAAAGUUGGUUAUGCUAACACUAUGAGAUGGCUUUGCGGUGCAUUAGCUAGUUGGUGGGGUAAAGGCCCACCAAGGCGACGAUGCAUAGCCGACCUGAGAGGGUGAUCGGCCACACUGGGACUGAGACACGGCCCAGACUCCUACGGGAGGCAGCAGUGGGGAAUCUUCCGCAAUGGGCGAAAGCCUGACGGAGCAACGCCGCGUGAGUGAAGAAGGAUUUCGGUUCGUAAAGCUCUGUUGUUAGGGAAGAAUGGAUAUGUAGUAACUAUACAUGUAAGAGACGGUACCUAACCAGAAAGCCACGGCUAACUACGUG
rnacentral:rRNA from 1 species